GAUGAACGCUGGCGGCGUGCCUAAUACAUGCAAGUCGAGCGAACAGACGAGGAGCUUGCUCCUCUGACGUUAGCGGCGGACGGGUGAGUAACACGUGGAUAACCUACCUAUAAGACUGGGAUAACUUCGGGAAACCGGAGCUAAUACCGGAUAAUAUAUUGAACCGCAUGGUUCAAUAGUGAAAGACGGUUUUGCUGUCACUUAUAGAUGGAUCCGCGCCGCAUAAGCUAGUUGGUAAGGUAACGGCUUACCAAGGCAACGAUGCGUAGCCGACCUGAGAGGGUGAUCGGCCACACUGGAACUGAAACACGGUCCAGACUCCUACGGGAGGCAGCAGUAGGGAAUCUUCCGCAAUGGGCGAAAGCUUGACGGGGCAACGCCGCGUGAGUGAUGAAGGUCUUCGGAUCGUAAAACUCUGUUAUUGGGGAAGAACAAAUGUGUAAGUAACUAUACACGUCUUGACGGUACCUAAUCAGAAAGCCACGGCUAACUACGUG
rnacentral:rRNA from 1 species